UCAUAGCUAGUGCUGGUAUUGUUGUUGUUUUGAGGCUGGUAGGCCUGCUGUUGCGGACGAUGUUGUUGUUGUUGUUGUUGCUGGUGCUGAUAAUGUUGAGUUUCCCUAAAGGCAGGUGCUAUAUGAGACACCUGGUGCUGGUUACUAGCAGAGCGCACAGUUUUCCUCUUCGCAGAGGGUCUUCGUUUAGUAUGGGAAGACACGGCAUGUGUGUAAUACCCCAAAAUUU
rnacentral:lncRNA from 1 species